rnacentral:rRNA from 1 species
CGUGCAGGCGGUUUAGUAAGUUGGAUGUGAAAGCUCCUGGCUUAACUGGGAGAGGUCGUUCAAUACUGCCAGACUAGAGGACGGUAGAGGAAGGUAGAAUUCCUGGUGUAGUGGUGAAAUGCGUAGAUAUCAGGAGGAAUACCAGAGGCGAAGGCGGCCUUCUGGGCCGUUCCUGACGCUAAGACGCGAAAGCAUGGGUAGCAAACG